GUGGCAGCAGACCGAUGAAUCGGAGCGCGCCACUUCCGCUGGUCGGUUGCCCCGGUCUCUAGCCGGGCCGCCCUGCAGACAUAGGUCCGCGUCCGGGCUGCUCGCCGCCUGCGCUGCGCUCCGAGGGUGCGGAACUCCGUUUUGCCCCGGGCACCCCGUGCCUGGGCCUGCCCCCUACUUGCCAGCCUGAGAAGCUGCCGGGGGAGUCAGCCCUGCCCGCCUUUCCGCUGCCGCUCGGAGUGCGCAAUGGGUGUGGGGAAAAGGGUGGUUAGGUGAAUGGAGGGGCUCCGGCCCGGACCCCACUGCCGAUCAGCUGUGUGCCCGUAGGCGGGGUCCCCUUUGCCUGCGCUGUGAGCCGACACGACUGGCUCAGAAGGUCGCAGAAGCGCUUCGCGGAACUGACACUGCAAGUCAGCUAAGAAUGCGGAGCGGCAGCCGCGCUCUCGGCCCGGCCCGGCCCCGACAGGGUGUCAUUCCGCAUGGAGCCGCCAGGGGGCGGGUGGGAAAAGGCGGGCCAGACGCACAGCUGCUUUCGCUUUCUGAAAGCCUCCCGGGAAGCCUGGAGAACCUGUCGCUUUUUUCCAGGCUCUGCAGUCCUACCACAGUAGGAUGGAGCAGCGGGUCCGGUUACGUGGCUGAGCCACAGCCCACAGAUGCAAAGCCACCCAGGAACAGGUGCAAAACAGUUUGAAAAGACAGGGCGAGCUGGGCUUGGGGUCUUGCGUUACCCUGUCUCCUUGCUCCCCAGUGUGAGCGGAGCCUUUGUCUGGCGUCAAAGUCUCUGGCGAUCAAGAGUCAUAGCACAGAUUCCGCCAGGGACCCAGGUUCCCACACUGCGACACGAGCACGGCCCUCCACGGAGCCGGCCCCAGCCCAGGGUGCGGGGGUGGUCUUGCGCGGUAAGAACGCUGGUCCUGCGCCCUUUCUCUGCGGGAGUCGGUUCAUAAUGAGGUCUCUGCCUAUGGCGCUGCCCCCGUGGGCCCUCACGGUGGCCGCAGAGUCCUAAGAACUUCCCGGAUGUCGAUAACAUCACGGAGUUGCUCAAGAGCAUCUCCUUGGGCCUCGGAGUCAAAAUCAAAACCAGACAGGUUAAAUGCCAGAGCUGGGAAUGUGUAAUAACAAACUAGCCUGGGCUGCAGGUAGCAUCUGAACCCGGACGUGUCGAUGGCUGGAUGUGAUGGUCCAGUUUCUAGCUUAUGCUGCAGAUGUUUCCAUCUUGGAAUGGGGCCCUACACCUGCCUUUAGGAACCCAGCCGACAGCCCCACGCCGGGCAGCACAGGUCCAGGAGGGGAGGGGCACUGUGGCUCAGGUCUGGGCUCUUCCUGUUCUAACCCAUUCGCUCCUAGUUAGCAGUGUCACCUGGGCUGGUUCCUACAGGGUUUGUAAAUAUGGGGCAAACAGCAGGUUUGGCGAGUAACCCCGCGCUGCCGGCUAGAGUAAUAAAAUGAGGAUGGCUGGGCCUGUAGCUCAAUGCGGCUCUUGAUUUUCUACAAAGAACUCCUAAUGGCCAAGAAAUGUCACCCCAAGCUGCGUUCCCCCCUCCUAAGUGGUCGAACUAUUUUUUAAGUCUUUGUCUCAUCUGAAGUUUGAGUGAUGAUUUACCUUCUGCUGUGAACCUGACCCUCCUACCAAACCCACCUACCUACCUUUGCUGGAACCCACAAGGCGCCCCGUGCCUGUUGCCUGGCAGCAGGUCCAGUCCGAUCUGCAGAUAACCGAGCUCCCACCGCUCACCUCCAGGCCGUCCCUGGGGCCGUGUGGACCUCUCUCCUCCAUCCCCGGCAGCCACCUGUCUGCUCGAUUGCCAUCUUAAAAUAUGUCCUCCUCCGACCCUACAUUCUCUCUGGUUAUCUCUCCCUAUCUCUGCCCCCUUUUACUUCAGCCUUGGUGAAUAAAGCUAAAGAGGUGGGAGCCCAGAGAAAGGCAGACAGCUGCAGGGUCCCCGGAGUGCACCUUGCCAGGGACCUCUGCACAGGAGCAAGCCUUGGGCCCAGCGAGGGGGAUCCCUGCGCCCCAAGGCAGAGGAGGGGUUUCUGUGCUAAGCGAGACAAAGGGGCCCCAAGAGCCGACGAGUACCUGGCCUUUCUCAAAAGCCAUGUCCAGCGUGCGGUAAGAAACAGGCCAGGUGUGGCUGGUACAGGGCAGGGCGGGCUGUUUAACAGCUGGAUUUACCCUCCAGGGUCCCUGCACUCCACCCCUGACUCCCGGGAAAGGGGCUCUGUGCGCUGCCCCAGCCCCGCUGCUCCCUUCUGUCCUGAGCUCCCUGCAUCGGGGUUCCUGUUUGUCCUCCAGCUGCUCCUGCCCGCCCAGGUCUCCGCUCCCUGCACCGGGCCCCGCACCUCCACUGCCGGGGAAGCUGGGGCCCCACGCAGCCUGCCUCCCACGUCUCCCAGCUCAGGAGGCCCCGCCUGCGUCUGGCAUUGAGUCUGGCAAUCAGCAGGCUCUCUAACCUCUCAGCAGGUUCUUCCCCUCCUGCCUCGAUUCACCUUCCCUUGUCAGGAGAUCCUGCGGCUCCACCCACAGUCUCCCCACCCUCCUUGCUGCCACCGUGGACACCCAGCCUGGUCAAUGGUCCGUGUGUCUGCCCGUCCUCUUACUAUUUCUUCUCAAGGAAAAGGAGCGCUUCCACCCAACAAAUAAAGACAUGGCGGAUGGGAGCAGCUGGGUCAAGCAGAGCCCGGGGCAAACCCUGGCUGAAGCUGUGGGGUUGGACCGGAGCACCCGAGCAGCUGUGGCCAGCCCUUCGCCUCCAGGUGCACAGGGCGGGACUCGAAGGUGCAGCACCCUGUGAAUCUCACAGAAAGCACUGGGAAAAAAAUUAAAUCCAUCUUUAUUUUAAUUCUUAUUUGUUCGUGCUUGCUGUCCGAAAUGAUUACAUUCAUCGUGGGGAGUUGGUGCAUGCACGUAACACAUCUUCAUUCUUUUUCCAUCCCCUCUCGUGAGCCUGAUUUAUUUUUCUUAACGCUCCAGUGUAUCCUUCUUUAAGGCAGAGUAGUACUCCAUUGUGUACAAAUACCACUUUUCUUUAUCCAUUCACCCGAUGAUGGACAUAUAUAUAGGCUGGUUUCAAGGUCUAGCUAGUACGAGUUGUGCUGCUGUAACUUGGGAAUGAUAGGUCAUUGGCUCGAUGUGAGAGAGUCCGUUUUUUAGCUUGUGCUGUAGAUGUGGUUUGGAAUGGCUGGAGGGGCGAGAGGAGCCGAGCUUGCUCUAUGUCAUCCUUCAGGAGCCCAGGCUGACAAAUAGCUUAAGAAUCUCUUUUCAAGCCCGGUACAGCAAUGCACAGCUAUAAUCCCAGCUACUCAGGAGGCUAAGGUAGGAGCUUGGGCAAUUUAGUGAAACCUUGUCUUAAAAUUUAAAAAGGGCUGAAGUGUAACUCAGUGUGAGGUCCUGGAUGAAAUCCUCAGCACUGGAAAAAAGAAACAAUCUAUUUAAAUAUCCAUAUACAUUUAGUCUACAUUGAAUUUGAGCACAGGCACAUUAAAGACAGCUGCUCUGGACAUCGCCUUGACGCAAGAUCAGGGCCAAAUACUUUUCUGAAGAUCUCUGUAGCUGAUCCCAGCCCCUUCACUGUGUCAGGCUAGCUCAUGUGUUCUAUUGACAGCACUUGGUUUUAUACAGAAAACCACCCGUCAAACGGUGAGUUGCCUAGCAGUUUUCUACUGUUUCAUGCAUAUGUUUAUUCUACAAGCAAUUAUUGAGGUCUUGCUGUGUGCCAGGGACUGGAGUUACCCAAAAGUGCGGUCGACAAAGUUGUCUUUAGUGAAAAAAUGGACAAGCAGAGAACACGAUGUGAAGCAGCAAGUGCCAGAAAUGAACCGUCUCUUGAGUAAGAGCGGAGAGUGUGGACACCGUUGUCCUGUUCUGGAUCUCAGGAGAAACAUUUUGUUUCCCCAUUUACUACGAUGUUGUAAUAGAUUUGUCCAGUGACGCCUUUACUGUGUCAAACUGUGAUCCUGCUGUACCUAAUUUGCCAUCAUGAAGGGAUGCUGAAGCUUUUUAGAUGCUUCUAUUGAGAUGGUCAUUUUGGUCCAGGGAUUUACCUCAGUGGUGCCACACCUGCCUGGCAAGCACAAGGUCCUGAGUUCGAUCCCCGGUAACUGGUUGUUUAAUUUUUAGCCUUCAUGCUAUUUGUUGAUGUCAUACAUCUAUAAUUUGCCUGUGUUGCACCACCUCUGUGUCCCCAGAAUGAAACCAACUCCAUGAUUGAGUGUGAUCUUAUCAACAGACUACUGAGUUCACUUUGUUAGCAUCUUGUCCAGGGUUUUUGUACAAUGGAGAAUGAUUCACCACAAGGAAGAUUGAAGUCUUGUCAUUUACAGAAAAAUGGAUGGAGGCCAGACACAGUAAGACAAAUAUCCUAUGUUCUCACUCAUAGGUGGAGACUAGAAAAUGAAAACAAAUCAAAAGUCAGCCUGAGAGAAGAGGGAUUGCUAGGGGCAGGAAGGGUGUGGGCAGGACACAAGGCUGAAAGCAGAAGGCUAAGUAGACCCGGGCAGUAGCCAGUGCUCAGUGAGUACCAACAUCACAGUGCCACCUCGAAUCCCGUUAACCUGCAAGACAAAAAAUCAAAACUAAAAGAGUAAACAGAACGACUCACCCAGCACGGACGGGGCUGCUAGGAGGACUUCCUGGAAGCAGAGAGGGCAGGGCCAGGCCUACAGAGGAUGCAGAGAGCCGCAGGGGUGGAAGCAAGAAGGCCAGGCCGGGAGGCCAGUUCAGGAACUGCAAGGAGAUUGGAAGGCGGAAGCAGGGCUGAGCUCAGAGUCUGAAGCAGGACAGGAAGCUGCUACAGAAAAGGAGAGGCCUGCCCAGCUAAGCAAUCCAGUGGCCAGAGAGGAAGACCCAAAACUGGAUUCUGCAACAUGCUCCCAGUUGCCCGGAUCCCAGGAAAAACCCAAGCUCUAAAUGCCUGGGGCAUUGCUUAUAUCGGAAGGUGGCCUUAUCCUACUUCGGAUUGCUGUGGGCUACAGUGUGCACAGGCCUGGAGGAUAUUCUAGGUGGAGUAGGCCAGUCACCAAGACGGAUGCCCCAGGACUGCACUCCUCAGAGGGAUGUGGAAGAGUCCUCGGAUUCCUAGGACAGGAGGACGGGUGGGGUCGGGAGUUGCUGCUUCCUGGGGACAGUUUCCAGUUUGGGAAGAUUAGGAAGUCCUGAGAUGAACGCCAAUGGUCAGUGGACAUAACAUCACUGACUGCACACCAGCAAAGGGUUAGGGUGGUAAAUGUGUGUAGUUCACAUUGACCCACAAUUAAAACUCAGAAAACGAUAGGCAGCCUUAGCCUGGAGGGUCUGUCUUCUGGGGUGUGUAAUUAACCCCGGAUCCCACCACGCUAAUGAGGGUCUAUGCACAUUAUUGGCCAGACUAGAGUGGGUCCUCUCCGGGAACCCAGGAGAACUUACAGAUUGCUGUUGACACCACAAAGACUCUAUUCCACAGUUCUCCACUCUUCUGAGUCCGGGUCAUUUCCAAGCGCCCCACAGGGUCUGAUCCCUGCACACGCCGACUCACUGCCCGAGGCGCCUCUGUACAGCAAGAGCCACAGAGGAGUGACUGUACCCUCUUCGAAGCACCACCCUCAGCCCUUUCUGUGCACCCUUCUGUCCCUCAGAGCGGCCUCAUGAGGGAGGCACGGUUACCUCAACAGUGGGCCAGGAGCCAAAGAUCAGAACAAGUAAGACAUUUGCCCUGGGCCUGUGUGGUUGUUGGGGUUGAAAUAAGAAUCUAGGAUUCUCAGCUCCCACUCAGUCCAGGGAGCUUCCUUGAACUUUCUUCCAUGUCGAGAGCGUUGAAAUUCAAACUUCUGUUCUCGGUUCUGACUCCUACAUUAAUUCUCCCAACCACUGUGGCACGAUAUGGUAUGGCCUCUGCUGUGUUUUGAACGUUAUGUCCCCCCAAAUUCAUGUAUUGAAAUCCUAACCCCCCAAGGUGAAGAUAUUAGGAGGAGAGGUUUUAGGAUGCAGUGAGGACAGAAGGACUUUUCCCUCACAGAAGGGGUUGAUGCCCUCAGGAAAGGCCCUCGAGUGCUGUCUUCCAGCAGCAAGAAUACAGAAAGACAGCGCCACCAGGGAAGCAGAGCGCCCUCGCUGGACCCUGAGCCUGCUGGUACCUUGGUCUUGGACUUCCUAACUUCAGAACUGUGAGGAAUAAACUGUGUUUAUAAAUCA